rnacentral:misc_RNA from 1 species
GUUGAAGAUGUCACUAGGAAAGCAGAGGUCUACGCUGAUAACGUCUGGCACCAUCUCAAAGUUAGUUCCAGUUUCACAGAUGCAGCAAUGGCAAGGAUUGCUCAAGGGACAAAGGUUCUCGCUGAAGGAGGGCAUGAUAAAGUAUUCCAGCAGACAUUUGGGAGCUUGCCUGGAGAGAAGCUCGUGAAGGCCUAUGUUUGCUAUCUGUCAACAAUCUCUGGC